rnacentral:rRNA from 1 species
AUUGAACGCUGGCGGCAGGCCUAACACAUGCAAGUCGAGCGGAGCCGCGGACGGGUGCGUAAUUGCUAGGCAUGUGCCCGGCCGUGGGGGAUCACGUCCGUAAACGGGCGCUAAUACCGCUUACUAUCAGAUGAGCCUAGGUCGGAUUAGCUAGUUGGUGGGGUAAAGGCCUACCAAGGCGACGAUCCGUAACUGGUCUGAGAGGAUGAUCAGUCACACUGGAACUGAGACACGGUCCAGACUCCUACGAGAGGCAGCAGUGGGGAAUAGUGGACAAUGGGCGAAAGCCUGAUCCAGCCAUGCCGCGUGUGUGAAGAAGGUCUUCGGAUUGUAAAGCACUUUAAGUUGGGAGGCGUUACCAACAGAAUAAGCACCGGCUAACUUCGUGCCAGCAGCCGCGGUAAUUC